AACAAACGCUGGCGGCGUGCCUAGCACAUGCAAGUCGUACGAGAAAGGGUCCUUCGGGGCCUGAGUAAAGUGGCGCACGGGUGAGUAACGCGUGGAUAAUCUGCCCUUCAGUUGGGAAUAACUCAUCGAAAGGUGGGCUAAUACCGAAUAAUGCUGUGAGACCUCGGUUGAUCAGCCAAAGAGAGCCUCUGCUUGCAAGCCCUCGCUGAAGGAUGAGUCCGCGUUCCAUUAGCUAGUUGGUAGGGUAAUGACCUACCCAGGCGACGAUGGGUAGCUGGUCUGAGAGGAUGAUCAGCCACACUGGAACUGAGACACGGUCCAGACUCCUACGGGAGGCAGCAGUGAGGAAUCUUGCGCAAUGGGGGCAACCCUGACGCAGCGACGCCGCGUGGGUGAGGAAGGUCUUCGGAUCGUAAAGCUCUGUCGGAUGGAAAGAACCGCAUAGGGGUAAACAGCCCCUGUGUCUGACGGUACCAUCAAAGGAAGCACCGGCUAACUCCGUGCCAGCCGCCGCCGUAACAC
rnacentral:rRNA from 1 species